rnacentral:rRNA from 1 species
GACGAACGCUGGCGGCGUGCUUAACACUUGCAAGUCGAGCGGAGCGGCGAACGUGUGAGUAACGCGUGAGUAACUGCCCCCCUCUCUGCGAUAACCGUUUGAAACCGCUGCUAAUACCGGAUAUCGGGGGAUGAAUCGCGUCCUAUCAGCUUGUUGGUGGGGUAGUGGCCUCCCAAGGCUACGACGGGUAGCCGGCCUGAGAGGGCGACCGGCCACAUUGGGCUGAGAUACGGCCCAAACUCCUACGGGAGGCAGGAGUGGGGAAUAUUGCACAAUGGGGGAAACCCUGAUGCAGCAACGCCGCGUGCGGGAUGACGGCCUUCGGGUUGUAAACCGCUUUCAGCCAUGACGCGGUAGUGGCAGAAGAAGCACCGGCUAACUACGUGCCAGCAGCCGCGGUAAUAC